rnacentral:rRNA from 1 species
CGGGGUGAGUAACACGUGGGUAACCUGCCCGGAAGUGGGGAAUACCUCGGGGAAACUCGAGCUAAUGCCGCAUGACAUCUCCGGGACGAAAGUCCUGGCGAUCAAAGCGGGGUCGUAAGAUCUCGCGCUACCGGAUGGGCCCGCGCCCGAUUAGCUAGUUGGUGAGGUAACGGCUCACCAAGGCUUCGAUCGGUAGCCGGCCUGAGAGGGUGAUCGGCCACACCGGAACUGAGACACGGUCCGG